CCUACGGGAGGCAGCAGUGAGGAAUAUUGGUCAAUGGACGAGAGUCUGAACCAGCCAAGUAGCGUGAAGGAUGACUGCCCUAUGGGUUGUAAACUUCUUUUAUAUGGGAAUAAAAUGUUCCACGUGUGGGAUUUUGUAUGUACCAUAUGAAUAAGGAUCGGCUAACUCCGUGCCAGCAGCCGCGGUAAUACGGAGGAUCCGAGCGUUAUCCGGAUUUAUUGGGUUUAAAGGGAGCGUAGAUGGAUUGUUAAGUCAGUUGUGAAAGUUUGCGGCUCAACCGUAAAAUUGCAGUUGAUACUGGCAGUCUUGAGUACAGUAGAGGUGGGCGGAAUUCGUGGUGUAGCGGUGAAAUGCUUAGAUAUCACGAAGAACUCCGAUUGCGAAGGCAGUUCACUGGACUGCAACUGACACUGAGGCUCGAAAGUGUGGGUAUCAAACAGGAUUAGAUACCCCAGUAGUC
rnacentral:rRNA from 1 species